GACGUAGGAGGCGAGCGUUGUCCGGAUUCAUUGGGCGUAAAGAGCACGCAGGCGGUUUGGCAAGUCGGACGCGAAAAUCCGGGGCUCAACCCCGGACCUGCAUCCGAAACUGCCCGACUAGAGGUAGGUAGGGGAGAUCGGAAUUCCUGGUGUAGCGGUGAAAUGCGCAGAUAUCAGGAGGAACACCGGUGGCGAAGGCGGAUCUCUGGGCCUUACCUGACGCUCAGGUGCGAAAGCUAGGGGAGCGAACAGG
rnacentral:rRNA from 1 species